rnacentral:lncRNA from 1 species
UUUCGCUGGCCCCCAAUUCUUUCAAGUUUCUGUGCGUCUCCGCCCCCAACCCCUACGAAACCCUAACCCUAGCGACUCCGCCCCAAUCAAAAUCCCCUCAACCCCGCGCUCUUUCCCGCUCGAUCGUCCCCCCUCGCCAGCUUGAGUAGAUCGCCUGCUCGUGAUCGUCGUCUUCUUCUUCUUCUUCUUCUUCUUCUUCUUCAAGCGAUUAGGGUUUUUUUUUUUUUUUUUUUUUUUCUUUUGUUUGAAUGAAACAAAAGAGGAGGAGGAGGACAAGGACGGAGAGGAAGGGGAGACGUAAAGAGGAGGCCAAGUGUUAGUAAAAGGGGGGGAGUAAAUGCGAGGAAGACGUGGAGCAUUUUGAGGAGCGAGCUUGUGACUCUUAUUAGGAAAUGGUUUCGUCAUUUCAGUGGAUUCGGUCCACCACGUGGCCUGUGGACCAGGAGGACACGUGGAGGAUCGCGGGUGGUUUUGGGUUCAUAAGUGUUCAACCAACUUGCGGUCAGUAAGCUAUCGUUUGAUUCGGAAAAAUAAACAAAAAGUGGUUAUUACAGGAAUGGAUAUAAAUUGAGAUAUAAGCGGGGAUUAGAUUAAUUUUGCAUUUGGAUGAAAAUUGAAUUAUUACUGAGAAUAAAAAAAAAUAGCAUUUGGUUAUAUAAGAUGGAAUAAAAAUUAAAAUUGGUAGUUAUAGAUAAAAAAUAAUGAUAUUAUUCCUUUCUUUAUAUUAAAAUUUAAAUUUUUAUAUUUUAUAUUUGUAUUUUAGAAUUUAAAAUCUCAAAUUUACAAUUUUAAAANGGGGGGGCCGCGAUCCGUAGCUGGGCUUCCCUCGUUUUACCAGAGUUUUCAAGGAGGGGUUUGUCUCCGCGGCUAUGUCUCGGUGCUUCCCCUAUCCGCCUCCCAAAUACGACGAGGCUGAGAUCGGAUCCAUUAAGGUUUGUUGAGCAUUAAUGCUGUUGCGAAUCAAUUUCUUGCAUUCUUGCUCGACUCUCCCUUUUGGGUGAUCGCUUAAUGGAUGGACUCUGUGAUCUGUGUGCUUGUUGUAUGUAACCAAGAAAACCCUAAAAAUUUUGAGGAAUACCUGUACAUAUGUUGCAAAAAGAAAAGAAAUUAGAAGAUGUACUUAAAAAGGUGUUUGUUGGAGAUCUGGAGGCUGUUGGUUGUUUCUCCCCCCAUCUUUCAACUACUUUGCUAACUUGCCCCUUAGUAGUAGUUAUUGUUGUUUUUGGAUUGUGGCUGAAAUCCUUAUCUUCUAGAGGUCUUGUUACUGGGCUUGAAUGGUAUUUUUGAUUGCACGGCUGUUGAAGACUGGCCUGCUCAGUAGUGGUUUGCAGAGGUUUCUUUGCAUGUUGAUUUUGCCUGAGAGAAUCUCUGUGGAUUUUGUCGGGCUUGCAUAUCAGAGUAGGUUCAGCGAUGCUCUAGUAGCAAAUAACAUUUUUCUUGGCCUUCCUGACUCUUCCUCUUUCUCUUCACCUUCCUCGGAAGAGCUAGGUAUAUGCCCAAAUGUUGUUUAUAAGCUUAAUUGGGCUAGCUUAGCAUUCUUGUAAUAGCCCAAUUAUGGGUUGGAUGGUAAUUAGGUAUAUUUACUUUGUUUGCUGUCUGCGGAAGUUCGGUUAGUAGAUAGUGCUUUGAAUCCAGGGUAUUUUGGUUAAAUUCUGAUAUCACGGGCUGGGAAAUUGUGUUGGCUCGUGGAACGUGAAUGUCCAAUUGCUGAUUAUUGUAGACGGCCAAUAAAUUUAAGGAUGAUUGAUUAUACCUCAGUAACCAGUUUUUUCUCGCAUCGUUACGGAGGAUCAAGCGACUUUCUUGUUCUGAUGUUAAACAUUUUGUAUUAGACACGUAGGGUGCUUUACAAUGAUUUCAUAGAAAACUCUAUUAUAACUUCGGCUUCUCUUUCCUACUGAUUGAAGAGUAACCAUUGGUGCUGCUGUCAUUUCCAUGUAUUUCAGGAAGCUAAUUUUACAAAAAUAAUAAUUAUUUUACGUUAUUGACACUAACAAGUUUUACUUCGAGAUAAUUUUGGAUGUAAUUCUUGAGACUACAUGACAUGCUCGUCAAAUCAAGAUCUAAAAUUUUCGUCUGGCAUGCGAUAAGUGACCAUUUUCUAUGAAGUUUUUCUGAUAGUGUAUUCUGGUGCGGAUGUUAGCACUUUCCUGUUGUUGGCAUAUAAUUUCUUUUCACCCACCUGCUUGCUGCAUAGGCUAUUAAGGGGUUGUUCAACUUUUCCUGAGGUUUUCAAUCAAUAUAUUUUACUAUAUUGAAUUUUGAUUUUGAUUUUUGAUGUAUAAAAAAUAUUUUGAUUAUUGGUACUUCUCCAUCUGUUUUGUUUUUUGGUUUCUACAUCUAGAAGUAUGGCUCUUUCUCUUUGUUAUUAAACUUGUUUUGAAGUGUGUGGCUUUCUAAUUGUUCAAUGUUAGAUACCUAGAUAUUUGCUUCAUCUGGAUUGCUCGUCAUCGCAAUUUAGGUUAAAAGGAAAAAGAAAAGAAUGCAUGUAUAAAUUGAGAUUGGCUUCCAUCCUUUGGCGACAUUUAGACAUGUGGUUCAGAAGUCUAGUCAUAUUAUUCUGCCAGCAGAUUCCCUUUUUGAUUUUUCUUUUCAUGUCCGUAUGAUGUUUUAGUAUUCCUGCUGCUUUUCAUUGUUAUGUCAGUUGAUCCACUGCUUCUAAAUGUGAGAGAUACAGAGUUGGAAUUUUUUGUGUUCUCUUUCUAGUUCAUUUUAUUUCCUCUUGUUUUACUUGCCUAUUCAAUGUCAGAGGAAAAGGAGCUAAAAGACCAUGCCUUUUCUUAUCAUUGUUUGUUUUGGUUUUCCAAUGCUGCAUUUUUCUACCCUGAAACUUAUCUUUCAUAGUAUUGUUUUGAACAAAUCUAUCUCUUUACCAGUUUGAUCAUUUUCUUCAUGAGAAGAAGUUUGGGCUUCAAAAUAAAGCUAUCUUAUUAUGCAUGGUGAAGCUUUACAUCUUUCUGCUGCUUUUUGUGCUCGUUUUAUUUGUGUGCGUGUGUUUUCUUCACUUGAUUGUUGGUUUCUCCAACAAGCUGCCCAUUGUUGUGAAAUUUUUGGCUUGUAUGUCAUCAGUGGCUCCAGGUGCAUAGAAAUAAUUGAGGACCUCUCUUUAUUUGGAUAUUUCAGUUCCAAGAACUUAACAGGGAGUUGAACUUUCCUUUUAAGUGGUGAAAUCUCCCUUUAUGACCUAGGUUUUACUGGAAUUACUGAUAUUCCUUUUUCCUAGAUCCAGAAUGGUGUCAAACAAUGAGCCUUAUGUAGAGAUUAGUAUGGUAAAAAAUACGGUAUCAUCUCGUGAAGGAUCCUAAUAAAAUUUUGACAUAAUAUCUGUCAUUUAAUUGUUUAAGUUGUUCAGAAUGGUGUUUUACUUUUCCCUUAGUACUGUGGUAGAGUUGAGUCACAUCUUAAUAGAGGAGUUGACGUGUUGAAAGGAUAGUGGUUUCUAAGCAAAGAGUUUACUCUUUUGUUAUACCUCGGAAAGCCGCAUGUUCUCUUUGUACAUUGUGCUAACGACAUUGUCCGAAAAAUGGAUGGUGUGAUUUCAUCCUGCAGUUGUGUGAUGAAUAAUGCUUCAUGCUUGUUAUUUGCUUCCUCCUGUCUAUUCUGAAAGCCGGAAUUGACAAUUGAUUUGGUGGCUCUGAAGCUCCUGAAAGAGCAGGAAAAGGCCAAAGAAAAGAACCGGAGGAAAGAGAAGAAGAGGGAGAAGAAAGAAAAGAAGGCUGCCCUCAAGGAGCUUGAGAACUCUGAACGUUCAAAACAUGAGCUUAAGAAGAGAAAAUAUGAGGAGAGUACAACAAAAACACCAAACAGCUCAGCAGAGCAGCUUGAGAGGAGUGGCCUCACAGAAGAACUUGAGCUGCCAUAUGCCACGCAGGCUGCUGAUAACUCCCCUGAGAGAUCUCAGGACAGUAAUAAGAGGAGAAAGAUCGCUCCAUCGCCUGGCCCUAGCCAAUCAAACAAUAAUGGUAGUUACUCUUGUUUCAUUUAUCUAGUUGUGCUUCUGAAUUUCUUUCCUGUACAUAUUUGUUGACUCUUAUCUUUUAUAAUUUUAUAAUGAAGGGAUUAUUCUACGCAUCAAGCUGCCAACAGCGAAGCAUACACAGAGAGAUACGGAGCCGCCUGCUGCCACCUUCCCCUUGGCGAAUUUGAUGGUUCCUGAGCGGGCGGCUGUACUGAAACAAAGGGAACUGGAGUUGACCAGGCUCCAGCAACAAGGUGGCGAUUUCGAGCCCUGUGUAAGAAGGGAGCAAAGUGAGCAUAAGACGAAUUUCGGGUACCAACAAGAUGACUCGCAACCUGCCUGCAUUCCCCAAUGUAAGGCAAGUGAUCAGGAGCCGCAGCCUGCUUGCAAGGAAGAAGAACCCUGCUUCUCUGGCAGGAGUGGCGAAGCCGCCCCCCUCAAAUCGGAGGAUGGCCGAGCCCAUACCAGGAGGAAGCUCAGUCGAAUUGAGAAGAAGGAAAGACAGUUUAUGGAUUUGAUUAUGAACUGGAACCCCCCUCGGCUGGAGCAGUUUGAAGAUUCAGAUCUUGUUGAUCAGGAGUGGCUAUUUGCGACUUCUGCGAGACCCUCAAAACCCAACCCGCAAAACCAGGACAGAGUUGGUAAAGAGGAAGGCCUUUUGAGUCGUGAGAAUGGCAUGGUCUCGUCGCUGCAGCCGCGGGCAUGCUAUCUGCCUGAACUCGGGAUUUAUCAGUUGCCGUAUGUAAUUCCAUAUUGAAAUCUUCUACUGUUAUACCUUACAUGGAGUUGGGAGAGAAAGAGAGGAGGUUGGGAGGGAAGUUUUGAUAUUUUUUUCUUUUUUUAUAAUUUGUCCGUCUCCCUCUCCGUAAUGUGCGGUGGAAAGAGAUUCGGUGGAAAGAGAUUGGUAUUUGUUGAGUUGGAAAAGCUGUGAAUAUAAUUUCAAUUUAUUUGUCUCCUCCUUCCAAAUUGCGGAUCGUAGGUGGUUUAACUUUCUUCUUAUUUGCCUCUCUUGUUUGCCUGGCUUUACUAUUUGAGCAGCAAAGUUUGGAACACGAUGUAUGCACUUUUCGUUUGUUACGAAUGUGGCCCGUAUUGUAACGCUUUUUCCUUUUCUGCUUGUCUGAUGAUGGAUCGUAACGCUUUCUCCUUUGCUGCUUGUCUGAUGGAUCGAUUUCUUUAGUCCUCACCAUUAAAUUCCAGCGGCAACUGAAUUGGUUGUUGUGAUUAAAUCAUCACUUCGUCCAAAUUUCUCACAGAACCUCUCUCUGCCGACGGCUUUAGUGGGUUAUUUAGGUAAAAAAAAAAACUGAUUGCAAGCCAAAUGUCCUGUGGCCGGUGAAUUAGCCGGAAAGUAUUCGUGGACUGCUAGAAAACUAAUUAGAUUUGUUUGUCCUACGGUUGAGAGUAAAACUCUCUUUAAUUUUCUACUAACUGAGCGGCCAUAUUUCCAUCUAUUUUUAAGCUAAAUCCGACCAAUGGGACUGCACUUUUUGUAUCCGGUGUGACCGUUUGUUCACUGAGGUCGGAGAAUUCCUGGUAUUUCAACUUUGAACCUUUUUUGAUUAAUAGACUUAUAAGAUGUUAUAAUUAUAAUAAAAGUUGUCCUCUGAAAUAAUUAUUUAUAAAUAUUAGAUCCAAAUGGUCGUUUUCUAAAUGCGCUAAAUCGUUCACCACCACUUGAUUCAAAAUAUUAAAAUAUUUAGAAAAAACUUUAAAUAUCACCCCUGUAGUUUCGCACUUUUUUAUUUAAUACCUUAUGAUUUAAAGUGUUUCAAUUUAGUACCCUAUUGUUUCAUUUUUCUCUUUUUAUUAUUCCUUCAACUAAUUUUCUUUCGUUAAAUUAGUGACAAAGUUAAAACUAAAAGGUGCUAAACUAAAUAUUCGAUAAACGUGAGGUAUCUGAAGUUUUGUGUAUAUAAUUAAACAAAAUGUUACCAGAGGAGCUGACGAAAAGAGAAAAAUGAAACCACAUGGUACUAAAUUAAUACACUUUAAACCACAUGAUAUUAAAGGAAGAAAGUGUGAAACCAUAGUAGUGGUAUUUGAAGUUUACCCAAAUAUUUAUGGUACUUAAAGCGAUAAAUUAUAUACUAUUUUUAAAUACGGAAUAAUCCUUUAAAGUUCGGAAUAAGAAAAAUAUAAGUUAUGUAAUGCGGUUAUUGAUUUAUCGCUUUUGGAAAAUAAUGAAUCAUAUUCACUGUUUUCUAAAAGUGAUAAAUUAAUAACCACCUUAGCCAAAUUUUACAAAUAAAAAUUUUGGAUGUCUACAUUUAUAGUUGAAAACUUUGAUAGGCCUAAAGCUUCCAAUUUAGAGUUUAUUAUUAUUAUUAUUAUUACGAUUAUUACUAUUAUCUAUCUAUACAAAGUAUAAUUUAAGAAUUCUUGCAAACAUACGAUUCCGUUGGCUUUUCCAAUUGUCACGCUUCCCUCUUCUCCCCUUCUCUCUCCCCUCUCUCUUUUCCCUUCUCUCUCCCCACUCUCUCAGACUCUUUGGAAGACUUUUAUCUCUUCUCCUACAACCUACAGCUGGCCCCUACUCUCUCUCUUCCUCCCCCAGGUGGCCCUCCCUCUCUCUCUCUAUUAUCUUUCUACCUCUCUCCUCCCUCUCUCUCUCUAUUAUCUUUCUAUCUUUCUCCUCCCUCUCUCUAUUAUCUCUCUCAUUCUCUGUUACCUCCUAUCUCUUUCUCUCUGUUCUAAAUAAUUACCUAUAUUCUACCUCUCUCUCUCUUCAGUUAUUAUUUAUACUUUACCUCUCUCUCUCUCACACGCACAUAUCUUAUGAGAUUUUUUAUAUCUUACAAGAUUCUUAUCUCUUUUUUCUCUUUUUGAAGGCAAUAUUUUUCUCUCUUUCUUUUCUACUUACUCUCUUAUAUCUUGCUUGGUUGGCCGUAAAAUGUGCCGGAAAUUAUUUUUUGGCUUGAAAAAAUCAUGAAGGAAAAUAGUGUCUUCGUACUUGGCCAAUUUUCAGCAGAAAAUGAAAACUCAAUGUGUAAAACUUUUUCAUUUAUUUCUUUCUAGUAACCCAAAUAAAUAUUAAUUUUUUAGUUUAAUCAAACAAAUAUAUAUUGAUGAAAAAUUAUUUUUUUCUUAUAAACUGAACACUAAGAAACGUAAAACUUUUUUUCCACCAAAGUUUUUUUCAAAGAAAACGUAAAACAGAUGUCAGCAAGAUGAGAAAUAAAAAUAAAAAGGAAAAUAGAAAAGGAUAAAGAAGGGAAGCAGGAGCCAAAGAGAGGCGAGCGGCAAUUCCGACGACCGCCAUGGUAGGGUCUAGAACUAGAUGGAGAUGAGGGUACCUAGGUGGUGGGAAAGAGAACUACAGUGGAGUCAGGAAGCUAAGAAGCUUCUGGAUUAGACGACCUCGGGUCUCCCCCUUUUUGUCAAAAAUUGCCAAAACAGAGCAUAUAGAGAGAAAACACACUAGAAAACAUAUUAGAAAAUAUAUAGGAAUUUUUAGAGAGAGAAAGAGAGCAAUUUGAUUUUGGAUUUGGGAGAGAAACAAAUGAAUGAACCGGUUAACCGUUCUUAGAAUUCAAAUUUUUUUUCAAAAAUCCUUCAAAAUUAAAUUAAUUUCAUAAAAAUUCAGGAUUGUACUCCAAAAAUUAUUAUGAUGAAGAUAACAUAUUAUAAGAUUUCAAAAUACAUCAAAAUAUCAAAAUUUUGUUAUCAAAAAUAACCUAAUGAUUUAAAAUCAUCAAGAUGUAACGGUUAAUGAAAAAUGACUUAUAGAAAUUCGGCAAAAUUGACACUAAUUUGUCGCAACUCGUUCAAAAUAGAGAUUUAACUAAUAUGAUACCGGGGGUGGCUCUUUGAGCAUCUCUUUGAGCAUCUUUUCAUCUUAUCACCUUAUAACUCCGAAAAUUCUAAAAUAUUUAUUUUUCCAACCUUUUCGGCUUUUUAAUUAAAUUCCAUGUGGUAGCUUCACACACUUACCGGAAGACCCGGGUGGUAGCUUUUUCCUACAUGUGGUGGUAGUUUUCACACUCCUUUUAGGAUGCAACUUUUUUCACAUCUUUUAAACAUAGGAGUAUCAUUUUCCUUUUUUUUUAAAAUAAUUUCAAACUACCCCUAAAUUAGACAAUCUCACAGUUGAAAGUAAUUUUGACAAAAAUUUAGUCGAUUAGUGAAUAUCUAUCCAUCAUAUCCAACACACACAACCAAGAUGAAUUAAUCACCAAAAGAUCAAAAUGAUUUCAAAAUUUUGUUGAAUAUAUGUAUUAAGAAUUCAUAUAAUAAAUUAUCGUCAAAAUAAUAAAAAGUGAGUAAAAUCGAUAAUUAAUAUGAAUUUAAUUCAAGAUGAAUUCCGGUUAAAACACUUUGAAAAAUUCUAAUCUCCCCCCCAAAAAAAUUUUCAAUCGUCUCCUUCCUCAACGAAAAAUUUUAAAUUCCCAAACGCUUUUCCUCAAAAAACAAAUAAAAUUCAAGAACCAAAAAUCAUCUAAAUAUGUAAUGCAAUGAAUAAAAAUAUGCAACAAGCACCAAUCAAAACAUUUACAUAAAAAAAAUCAAAAACGAACUAAGAUGUAGAACAAGGAAAGAUAUCACCUUUCCGAAUCCAAACUUGUCGGAUUUUGUGUUGUGUUGUCUUGUCGACGUUAGGUGCGGUUUGCUUUGAUUUUUGAUCAACCGUUGGUCAUUUCGUCGCUUGAGGCUUCUGUCGAACUUCAUAUUUUGCAUUAGAAAUCCGGUUUGCUUGUGGCUUAGGUAGGACUUGGCGUUGUGCUCGACUCAAUUGAUUUUGCUUUUGAUUCCGUGGGGGAAGUUGAGUUGUAGAUGAUGCCGAUUAAUGUUGCGAAGUUGCCAAUUGAUUCUUCUUUGUCUUGUUCGGGCAACUCCUUUUGAUGUGUCCUUUUGAUGCCACAUUUAUGACACACAUUCUCUUUCAAAGUUGUUGAGACUUUAGAAUUUGACUUUUGAUCCUUCUCAACAUACGUUCUUUCAUACCCGACACCCAAUUUGUUCGUUUGGCCUAAUCCGAGCAUAUGAUCUAAUUUCUUUGAACCGGAAGAGAAUUUUUGUAUGUCAGAUUGAAGUUGACGAACUUGAUUGGUCAAUGACUUGUUGGAUGUGUGCGAUUCCUCAAAUUGUUGCUCCAAAAAUCCAACCUUGUCUUUAUACGAUUUGAUCGUUGAUUCCGCUUCAUCAAGUUUCUCUUGGAAGAUUAAGUUAUUCUUAGAAAUCAAUUCCUUUUCCUCCUCAAGAGCACUGUUCAUUGUCUUCAAAGUUUUGUUCUCCUCUUCAAUGUCCAAUAACCGACGCCUCAACUUCUUAUUGAGCUUGGUCAUCUUUUUCGAAUCAAUAAGAAGUUGGUUGUAUGCUUCCGCUAUAUCCUCGUCGUUUGACUCCUCCUCGCUUUCACCGAUAUCGCUCGAAGUACCUUGCACGGAAGGAGAAAUACUAGAAUUAGAAACAAUUGAGGAUAAGCACAUAACAUUAGACGAAGGCAAAGAAUUAUUAGCAAGUAAAGCAAUAUGAUCAUCCUUUUCUUCGUCACUUGAAGAUGAUUCACUCGAAGUAGAAUCAUCCCAAGUUUUUGCUUGCAAAGCCUUUUGUCUAUAAGUCUUCUUAGAAGGACAAUCCGUUGCAAUGUGACCGUAGCUUUUACAUUUGUAGCAUUGGAUUUUUCCUUCAAAUUCGUCUUUUUCAUUCAAAGACUUUGCAAGUUUUUUAUCCUUAGAUUUUAAAUUAGAGGAAUGCUAUAACAUACCGAAACAUCGGUAAUUAAAUUCGAACUUUGGUCAAAUUGACCAAAGUGCGAGGUUGGUACACUUCGGAGAGGCCGAAGGCGUCAAAUAAUGCAAAAUGCAUUACUGGGGAUCUUCGAGAGCUUUUGGGAAUCAAAAUCUGCAAACUACAGGUUUUGUGCUCUCGGGGACCGGUCCCUGGUGGGAGAGACCGGUCCCCGAAUGCGUAGGCAGCGAGAUGGCUGAGAAAUCGGCUAAGUUAUAAAAAAUCAGCUCUCGGGAACCAGUCCUUGCGAGGAGAGACCGGUCCCCCAGAGAUCGGUCCCAUCGAGGGAGACCGGUUGCAUCGCGUGUAGCCUGCGCAGUCCGCGGGAGGAGCUCUUAGGGACCGAUUCUAGGUCGGGGAGACCGGUCCCUCACUGCGAAAAAUGCCCUGUUUGGGCAGUGCACUGGAAAUAAAGUGGAGGAGCCUUGUUGUAAUUGUUACAACACAUUAUAUACCCAACCCCCUCUCCCUUUACAGCCAUUCACACCUCUCCCUCUCACUUUCUCUCUUUUCUCUCUCUAGAAUCCUAGCACUAGAGCUUGGAGAAGAAGAAGAAGGAGCUUGAGGAGGGAUCUUUCGUGGCUUUGGUGGUCCUAGAAGCUCUCCAACAAGAAGGCUUUGGUGGAGCUUGGGCAAAGGUGAGUCCUUAAGCAAAAAUGAGUCUAGGGUUUGGGUUUAGAUCUUAGAUUUUUGGGUUUUGAUCUCUCUACAAGUGAGGAAACCCUCUAGAGACCUUGAAACNNNNNNNNNNNNNNNNNNNNNNNNNNNNNNNNNNNNNNNNNNNNNNNNNNNNNNNNNNNNNNNNNNNNNNNNNNNNNNNNNNNNNNNNNNNNNNNNNNNNNNNNNNNNNNNNNNNNNNNNNNNNNNNNNNNGAAUUGACGAACCGUCUUCGCCGACGCGUUCAGAGACCUAGCAAUUAGGUUUGCGACCCAUCAAAUUAGAUCAAAACCCUAGAUUUCCCAAAACCCCAUUUUGGAGCCCUAGGUUUCAACUAGGUAAAAAUCCAUCACUCUAGCCUUGGAUUUAAGCAUAAUCCAUCUAAUUAGCAUCCUAGGAUUCCAAAAAUACCAUUUAUAAGACAUUUAGACCAACCAUUUAAGAUCUACCAUUAAAGGGGUAGCAAGCUUACCUCCAAAAGCUCUCCAAUGGCCCAAAGAGGAGGAAGAAGAAGUAGAACUCCUUCUCCAAGCCUUCUCCUCCACCUUCUCCUUCACUUUCCUCUUCUUCUUCUUCUCUUUCUUUCCUUUCUAGAGAGAGAGAGGGAGAGUUUAGGUUACAAAAUGUGAGGGAGAAGAGAGAAAAAUGAGCUCCAACACACCUCUAUACCCUUGGCACAAUUGCACAAAGGUCCCUCAACAAUAUAAGUCACAAACAGCCCAAACUGGGCCAUUUUCGGGUGCUGGGACCGGUCCCAGGCAGUGAGAGACCGGUCCCCGAAGGUCCAGAAAAAACAGCAUUCCAGACUUAGCCAAAUUUUCAGCUUUUUCAGCUUUCGGGGUCCGUUUUCGCUCCGUUUUCGCCCGUUUGACCUCCGAUUCGUUUCAAAUCGAACCGAGACUCUCCAAACAUGUUUUCGAGCAUGUUUUUAUCAUCUUUUAAUCCCCGCUAAUACCGGGUUUAGUUCAUGGUCCGACAUGGCCUUUCGGGUCCCUUUCCGCGCCUACGCGCACCAAAUCGCCCGGAUUCUCCCAAACUUCACCGAACUUCACCGGAACCCUUCAAAUGGCUCUCCAACCAAAUGUACACCGUAACUUCAUGAUUUUAGAAGUCCGGUACCUUACAUUCUCCCCUCCUUAAAAGAGUUUCGUCCUCGANCAACCAAAUGUACACCGUAACUUCAUGAUUUUAGAAGUCCGGUACCUUACAUUCUCCCCUCCUUAAAAGAGUUUCGUCCUCGAAACUAACUCACUUCAAAUCUAACACACACCUCAACUCAACUUAUUGAGUAAUCGAGGGUUCCAAUGCACUUUCGCGCUCCGGGGUGGCCUUUCAUUCAUCGGAACUCUCCGAAGGCUCACUACGGAGGAUGUGAGACCAAAUUCACUCACAUUUACCAUGUACAACUCCAAAAGUGCAUUACUAGCUCACAAGGAAUCUCUCCUUGCACUACUCUCCCAAAUUGGGGAAAUCCACUCCGGUUCGAUCACCGGCAUUGCCUAAAGGCGAUGUCGUUGGUGCAUUGAUCAAUCGCAAGUGCCACCAUCACCUCCAGAUCUUUGCUCUAUCGCGAGAUGGCCUACCCCGGCACAUCUCUCGAACCUCAAUCCACGAAGGAGCGUUAUCUUCAAGUUCUCCAACUUCUCCAACAUGACCCAGCCUGCCUGGGCAAAUCUCAUACUCGGGGACCGGUCUCUCCCUGCCAGGGACCGGUCCCAGAGGACCUUCUCCAAUUCACACGUUCGGGAACCGGUCUCCCUGGCCCAGGGACCGGUUGCCUCGCGCGUCGCUGCAACCACCAGCCGGUGGGACCGGUCUCUCCCUGCCAGGGACCGGUCCCCGAGAGCAAUUUCUGCCAAGUGUAGAUUUUUGCAUAACUUGCUCUCGCGGAUCCGUUGCAAUGCACUUCUGGUGCAUUUGACUUCUUCGGCUUUCCCGAAGCACUCCUACUUGACAACUAGUCGAUUUUGAGCGAAGUUCAAUUCUCGUAUUCCGAAAAUUUACCUCCUUACACCAACUCCUCCACAGAGUUAUUGGUUAAACCGAUUACGUCGGCUUCCACAAUUGGACCAACGGUCACAAUUACUACGUAGGCCUAUAGCCUAGCCAUCUCAACACCCGUAAUGCCUCUCGCUCGCAAGCGUCGACUCAAUCAUAACGGGGCGAAAUUCUCACUUUGGAAUUCGCACACACUCCGACCAGGAGCAACUAAGACAUCAAACCACUACAAUUCGUCGGGUUGGGUCAUCAUCGCACUCUUAAUGCGCACUCGAUCUCGAGAUCCAACACGUGACAUUCUCGCUCCCAAACCUAAGCUCGGACCACUGCCCUAACCAAAAUCUCCGCCCCUCUCAAUUCGAGUUAGGCAACGCACUAUCACAACUUAUGCAUGCUAGGGUAACUACACCGACCCAUGCUCUGGUCCCUACUAUGCUUAUGAACAAGUAGUAGCAUACGGCCACAACUACAAUGCAUGCAAUGCACAUAUUUAAUAUCAUGCAAAGGCACAUACUUGCUUCAACUGAACCAUACCUGCCAUGACAUCAUCCGUAGCAGCAGGCUCCUCGACCUGAGCAGCGUACACCCGGCCACUCGGAGCUAAUCGGGUUGCCUCAGGUUGACGUGGCACCAUAGCACGUCCAGCCGACACAACACUCGGUGGGGCUCCGCCAUAAUAGCCUGGAAUCGCCGGAGCCGAUGCGACAGACGGGGCAACCAAAGCCUUUCUCGGGCAUUCACGGGCCAUGUGCCCCGCCUGGCCGCAUUCAUAACACCUCCCACGACGAUGCUCACACUGCGUCGCUCGGUGGUCGCCGCCACAAAAGAUGCACCGCUGCACUUCACGGCCCUCGGACCGUUCUCGCGGGUACUUCGGGGGCUUCUUGGAACCCGAUUGAUCUCCAAAACCACCGCCCUGUCGCUUUCUCCCUUUGUCCUUCUCGAACGCCUCGCGCUCUUCUCGUUCGCAAGCGUUCCCGUGCUCAACCCACAAGGCACGGUCCAAAGCCUCGGCCAAAGUGUGGAACUUGAAGGCAUGCACCGUCCGAAACACACCAGGUCGGAGUCCCCUCACGAAGCAAUCAGCCCGGUCCUGAUCCAUCGUCGCAACAUCCGGGACGCAGUUCAGGAGAUGUGUGAACUCCCGCUCAUACUCCCGAAUCGUGCGGUUACCCUGCUUAAGCUUUCUGAAGUCCUCCCGCAUCUUUCUUUUAUCACUGUCGGGAAAGUACUCCCCGAACAUCAACCUUCGGAACUCCUCCCAAUCGAUCGGGGGAAGAUCCAAAGAUCGAUCUUGCUUUACUCUCUUCCACCACACCCUGGCCCGCUUAUCAAAGCAAUGAGCGGCCAAAUUCACCUUGUCCCGUUCCUCCGUAUAGAUGUAACACACUGGACCUUUGCAAACUGCGAGGUUCGAGUGUUUGGAGGUAUUUCGAGCUUUUCCACACUUGGUGGAGGGUUGUAGAAUAUUUCCCGACCCGAAAAGUUCGAAAUCUGGAACUUUGGACAAGUCCUGAGAGUUUUUACUCUCGGGGACCGGUCCCUGGAAGGAGAGACCGGUCCCCUCAGUGAGCAGUGUUGAGGCAGCCUGAGGCAACCGGUCCCUGGCAGGCGAGACCGGUUCCCGAACGCGUCUUCGCAGUGGGAGACCGGUCCCGCGCAGGGAGAGACCGGUUCCCGAACGCGGGUUUUUCGGGUUCGCAGCGAGAGACCGGUCCCUGCUGGGAAGAGACCGGUCCCUCUGGGCGAAAACUGCCCAGUUCGGGCUGAUGCAAUAUUGGGUUUUUGGAGAGGCCUCUUGGAUUUUGUUACACUAGAUGGGCUUAUUAGCCAUUUACUCCCUUCCCCCCUCAUUUCUCACCACCCUACACCUUCUAGAGAGAGAGAAGAAGAAGGAGAGAGAAGAAAGAGAGAAGGAGGAGAAGAAGAAGAGGCAGCUAGUUUGAGGGAGCUUAGAGCUCACCCCUUUCCCCUUUCCACCUUUGCAAGGCUUGGAGCUUGCUUGUAGAGCUUAAGUGUGGAUCAACUUCAACCUAGGGCAUUUUGGGCUUGGAUCGAAGCUUCCAAAGGGUUAUAUCAUAUUUCCCUCCUCUAGAUUCUUGUUUUUGUGAUUUUUGGGAGAUGAAACCUAGAAUGAGAUUUAGGGCUUAUUUUGGACAUUUUCGAUCUAGGGCUUUUGGACCAAAUCGAUUGGCUAGAACCUUCUAGGGCUUGGAUUGGAAGGGUUCUAGCUCUCUUUUGGAGCUUUGGGAGAGAUUUCUACUCUUGAGGUAAAUUUUGGCCCUUUUUUGCUUCUUUGGUUAAUGUUUGAUAUUAUGCGAUGAUCGUAAUCCGUGUAUCUUGUCGUCAUUACUUUUAGGAUAUUUUGGACUCGGGACAACUUGUUCGGCGAAAGAGACCCUAACGCGACGGAUUCGGUGGUUUGACCUAGCCUACAUAUGAGAAAUUCUCAUAUUAUGUUUUAUAUGUUCGUAAAAUGGAAAGCAUGCAUAUUCAUACUAAAUAUUUUAUGGUGAUUUUUAGAAUGCUUAAAAUGCAUAUGUUAUGUAUGAUGAAAUUCGACCUCUAUGUAAUAAGAGGAGUUGCUUGAGGGAAAUCUAUGGUCGCAUUUCGCACUUUCAUGAGACUUGGUUCAUGUACUAUAGUGUAAAUGAGUUCGAUUCAUGCAUUAAACCUAAGUUUACUUGUGUCAUGAAUGUAUAUACUGAACUUUUGCAAAUUGCGGAGUUCGAGUAUGUGGAAUGGUGUGUGGAUCACUCUACAUGUUCUAAAGGUUUAGAACAAGUUUUCGGAUAAAGUUAGAGGAUGAUUGGAAUGCUUAAAGCAAGAAAGUGCGUUGAACUGCGAAAAUAGGCUUUUUCUGCUUGCUGUACCGGUACAGCCGCUAUGGUGUACCGGUACACAGUGGCAAUUCGUGGCAGCAAGGCUAUUUUGGUCUUUUCACAUUUUGAUCCCUAUCUAUAACCCCCAGCACGACUCCAGGAGCUCUGUGGAAGGGUUUUGAGACCAGAGGAGGGUUUUUCACCAUUUUUUCUCUCUCUCUCUAGGGUUUUUCUCUCUCUACGUCGAAUUCGCCGAUUUCGCUUGUUUUCGUCGCCGCGUGCGUUCUUCGCUGUUUGCGAGCGUCGCAGAGCUUACGUGGACGUGUGAGAGAGUAUUUUGGACGGGUUUUCGCAGCCCUGGACCAGCAGGUCACUGGUUGGCAGCUUGAGAAGGUAAGCGACUCACUUUCGCCGUUAUCGACGUUCUAUUCGUCGAUUUGAGUAAUGAUUUCGGGUUUUUGCUUCUUGCUGUACUAGGCUGAGAUUUCAGCAAUUAAAAAUGAGAUAAUUAGCUGUGAAUGAACCUCCUUAGACCAGGGAUAAACUACUUUGAAGCUUAAUUGGAAGAUUUAGCCAUUUAUGAAGCUAAAAUCGGAACUAAAUGCAAUUGUUUGAGCGAAUUGAUGCCAAUUGGAAUUUUCUCUUCGCAGCAGGUCUUCGAGUUUCGUUGAGCUGAACUUGUACUUUUAGAAGCUGGUUUGGAAGGUAUUCUAACCUGAGGUAAGCAGGGAUUUCAGUUAGAAAACUGAAUUCGCAAGANNNNNNNNNNNNNNNNNNNNNNNNNNNNNNNNNNNNNNNNNNNNNNNNNNNNNNNNNNNNNNNNNNNNNNNNNNNNNNNNNNNNNNNNNNNNNNNNNNNNAUUAGCUGAUUGUUCAUUAGUAGUCUUGUAUUAAUGAUGAAGUGAUUUCUUUCUUAUCAGAUAGGCUUAUUAUCUUAAUCCGUCAUACCAUCAUCGUUAUAAUCUUGGAUUUGAUGAUGAACUGUUGAAAGCAUACGAACGUUAUCAUAGAUUGGAGAGGGAUCCAACACAUGCCUGCUCUUGCAUAAGUGAGGUUAAUGAUUUUUCAAUGUAUUUAUUAGUUUGCUAGAUGGUUAAAUAAUUUUGCUUUGGAAAAUUUUUCUUGAUUAUUAUACUAACAUAUAAAGGGAAAAUAUUGCGUGAAUCCUCUGGAACUUUGGUGAAGUGCGGUGAAUUAGACGGAAGCCACAAUAGCGAUCCGUAAGUAAACUCCAUAUUUGGACAGUUACAGUUUGAUGAUAAAUAUAUUUUGAUAUAUUUUUAACUUGUAAUUGUACAGGCUGAGUGGUGUGGCUACAAUAUGGUGGAUCCGGCAAAGGCUUAAAAAAGAUUGCUGUGCGUGUCCUGUAGGCACAACAACAAACGUCUGAGUGGAUCGUGAACGCAACGUGUGCGGAGCACGUUUCGCACUUAUACAUUACAAAGUGCGCUAACGGAUUAGCGUCAACGAUUAGAGAAGCUAGGUUUAUGUUCACUUAAUAUGAGCUCCGUUUAAGAUGCAUGCAAGGGGAGCUAUGCAUAAGGAAAAGGGUAUUUAAAACUUAUGAUCCCUUGGAUGAAGUUUGUUAUCAAUGAUAAUCAGACCCCGUACUUGAUUGGCUAUCAAGAUAGAGACAAUCAAGAAGACCCAUUACUCGGUAUGAGCCUGGAGAUCCACCACGACCAUUCAGAAUAAUUGCUGAUGAAGCAGGAAUUAGUGAUGCUGAAGAUGGGGCUGACGAGAACAUAGGAAGCUCUCAAGGUAAUGGGUGCAAGAACAAGCGGCUUUUGGACGAAGAAUCCCAACAAUCUGCACGUUAUUCUGAUGCGGAAUUCGAACGUCUAUGCAAGAACCUGGCAGCCAUGGAUAUGGUCGUUCACGUCAGUACUCAGAGUCAAUCUGGAAAGCCGAGAAACGUCUCUAUACUGCCAAAAGGCCUUCAACGACAGUCUACGCGAGUGGUAGAGCAAAAAAAUAUGGACAUCGAUGGAUCCGAUUAGCAUGCAGCUGAUGCACUCCCACAGAUAAUGAUAGUGAUACAUCGACGACCAGCAAUUCUGGUUACCCAGUCUAAAGCAUGAAUGGUUUGAGUGAUGAAUGAUGAUACCACUAAUGAGCAGUGAGGAUGGUGGCGACUUAUUCCACCAACACAACAGGAGAGUGGAGGUGUGUGGUGCCUUAUAUUUACUGAAGAGCAAAACUUCAACAUGACACUCAAGAUGCUGAUCAUGGGUCUUUCGGCCACGGUCAAACAUCCCGGAAUGGUAUAUUGGGACCGUCGAAAAGGUAGAGGUCCUCACAACAGUUAUGCGCGGAGAUGAGAGAAGGUAUUGGAGGCAUAUCAACAUAGACCUCACGAAGGAGAUGAUAUUUUGCAAAACAGUUUUGAUUCAGCUACUUCAAUAUCGAUCGCCAUCCCUCAUAUCACAUGCGUCUUAUAUGGAGAGAUAUUUGAUAUGACUCAUCAAUUUAUGGCACUCAGAGUGCAAUCCCAAAAUCCAUCCCUGGACCUAGUGAAAGUGCAACACGGCGAAUCUACAUCCACUCAUGGAUAUCCAAUUAUGGUUUGCUUCUUUCCAUUACAAUCCAUAUCCUUAUGAUGCUUCAGUUUAUAUGCCGCAGAUGACUGUUGUCCAUAUAUCCACGAUCCAUUUGCACUAUGGACAUUAUCUCCGACAAUACAAUGACCUAUAUUUCGGGACAUAUAUGAUCUUUCGUCACAAUACAGCAAUAUUAUAAUCAACUAUUGCUCAUAUAAAAUCUUGUAUCUGCAAACUGACAGUAUGCCAUUAUGAUUCAAGCACGACCAAUCUAUGUGGAAUUAAGCCAGUAUUCUCUAUGUAAAGAUGUAAAUUUAAAAUAAUUAUGUUAUACUGGUGAAUUUUAUUUUGUAUUUUAAUUUUAUUCUAUAUCAGUAUAAUUUUAUUUUACUUACAAAAGCUUAAUGAAUGUUAAUUGAUGCAGUAUAAUAGGUAUAUCAUAGCCAAAUAUAAAUUAAUUAUUUAUUUAAAUUCUUUUCAAAUAUAUUAUAAGAGUUUCAUUGGAAUCUCAAAAAAAUCAAAAAAAAAAAUUCGUUGUCCAAGCGUCUGCCCAGUAGGAGUUCGGCGUAUCUGUCGGCACAGCAGCGUGCCACGUUGUCGGCACGCAAGCGUGCCGUGCCGUACGUGCAGGGCUGUAACGGCACGCCCGUGCCACGGCACUUUAAUUUCAAACCUUGCGCACAGAGCUUCAUUCAGUGUCCUAACGAGUGUUUGGCGUGUCCAGUGCAAAUAGGCGAUUGAUUAUGCGAUUUGAUCUGCUAUUGCUACGAUCAGAUGUGGCGGCAUUGGGUGAGUUACUUUUGGGGACCAACUGGCCUCUCAAGAUACUACGCCGGUGUGGUGAUAGAUUGUGGAAAGCAAGGGUGAUUCACUUUUCGUGAGGGCCUAACAAGAAGAGUUAGUCUACCAAGCGUGCAAAAGUAACGCUUCGCGGCGACUCAUAUCGUCCUGUAAGAUGCGAAGAAAAUAUCAAAGGGUUGUUAAAGCCUAUUCGGCAGACCGUGUGGAUGCUCGAAAGGAGUACCCUGAGUUGGGGAGAUAUUCGAGGUGGUAUGUCGAGUAUACCCGAUGGUCGUUUCCGGCGGAGUUACCGGGGACUGCCACUGGACGGGAAGUUUGAGUUGUCAUUGACUUGAGGUCCCGGGCGGAGCAGUUUCUAAAGGCUCGUAUAAUGGACCCGGUGAGUUUAGGAGCUAAAAAGGUUCAACUACAGGACUCGCUCGAUAAGGGCCUUCUUGAGACCGGUGUGUGUCACCGUGGGCGAGCCGUGCCUAUUUGUGAAGAACAAAGGAUGCGUACGCUUCGACUCGCCGUUUAGAUUAUCACGAGUUUGAACAAAGUAACGAUAAGAGACAAAGCUCUCACCGUUGCCAAGGAAUUGAUGAUCUAUUCGAUCAGGUGACAGGGUUCCAAGGUGUAUUCGAAGAUUGAUCUCCAAUCGGGGUAUCAUCAAUUAAAGAUCAGGCCAAAAGGAUGUGCACAAGACGCGUACCCGUAACGCGGUGCAAGGAUAUGGCCAUUACGAGCGCGGUAUGCCGUUUGCGGCUUACUAACGCCCGGCAGCAGUUUAUGAGACUGAUGAUCGAGUCGGCCGUUGUUUAGAUCGAUGCGUCGUGGGUUUAUAGACGCGUGUUGGUCUAUUCGAAAAGUGAAGAAGGAGCAUGAAGAGCCUCUGAGAGCUAUUUCUUGCAAUAAUAAUCAGACAAGAGAAAGCGUCUAUGGCAAAGUUAAGGAAAUGGUGACUUUUGGCUAAAGGAGGUCACUUUUUGGGUCAUGUGGAUCGCCGGAAGUUCGGUAGACCCAAAAGAAAAGUGGAGUGCCGAUCAACAGGAUUUGGCCUCGCCAACGGAAUGUAGCGGAGAUCCGCAAGUUUUACUUGGACUGGCGGGUAUUUACCGCGGUUCCGUGGAGGGUGUUCGCCAAAGAUAACCAACUCCACUAAUUGCGCCUCACGAUAAAGGAGUAAAAGUAUGUUGGAGCACGAUUUGCGAUCGAAGCUUCGAAGAGUGUAAGAACAGAUGGACGUCGACGCGGUGCUUUGCCUAUGACCGGAACUCCGGGAGAGACCUUUGUAGUGAUACAGUAGAUGAGCUCGUAUGUUAGGUCUCCGGGUGUGUAUUAAUGCAGAAUGGGCGGCGUUAUUUGCUAGCAUCGCGCAGUAAAGGUUAUGAGAAGAAACUACCCGAUUCAGACCUCGAGUUAGCCGCGGUGUGCACUUUUCUCGCUAAAAAGUAGAUUUGGAGGCUUACGGUGUUAUGGUGAACAUUGUGGUAUACACCAAUCACAAAGUCAUAAAGUACAUGUUCACCCGAAGGAUUGAAUAUGCGACACGGCGACUGCGCUAGAGUUUGUAAAGGGACUAUGAUGUGCACAAAAUAUAUAUAUACCACCCCGAAAGCCACAUGUUGUGGCCGAUGCCUUUGAAGUAGAAAAUCGCCGCGGAGAAACACUUUAGCGACGAGCAAUUACGCCUCAACCGCUUAUUGCAAAGGGCAAAUCCGCACAACGAUUCGGGUUGGAAGUGUAGCGCCGGACAGUGCCGCUACACUUGCCAUCAUUAGUUCCGUGCACCGCACCUAUUGGAAAGGAAUCAAGAAGUUACAAAGCUUCGAGACAUCACUUAUCUCCAAAACAGGUCAGGGUGAUGUUGAGAGCCGGUAGUUGAAGAUUUUGGCGUUGGAGCCGAUGGGCGGCACUUCGACUUCGAAAUCGAUUGGUGUGUGCCAAGGAUGAUGAUUACGAAGGCGAUAUGCCAAGAAGGCAUUCAAUCCCCUAUAGUAUACUACACCCGCGGACUAAAAUGUACAAGGACUUGCAAAGAGCACUAUGGUGCCGAGAUGUAAUGAAGAGAGAUUUGGGAGUUCGUGCCGCCAAUGUCUAAACGUCGCGCCAAUCAAGUAAACUAGCGCCGAUUGCCGGCGGAAAGCUACAAAGAUCUCAAUAGUCGUGUUGGAAUGGGAAAAUUAGCAAUGGCUAUGUACCGUUUCUCGAUCACAAGGCGGAUCACGAUGCGAUAUGGGUGAUAGUGACGAUUGACAAAGGCUCGGCACACUGUUUUGCCGAUAAUAUCUCACCGUGGUCGCGGAACAAGCUAGCGCAGUUUAUCUCGACAGAGGUUUGAGACUUCAUGGGUCCCAAGGUGUCGAUCGUAUGUCGGAUCGAACCCAGGUUAGCAUCCCAUUUUUGGAAGAGUGUUUGGCAAAAAAAGAACGCGGUAUGGCACGGCUCGAUCUUCACGUACAGCUUUCAUCCUCAAAGUGAUGCGUGUAGUCGAACGGACAAUACAAAAAUCUUGAGGAUUUACUUCGAGCGUGUGUACUAGAUUACAAAGGAGGAUGGCAUGAUUUCUUUCCUAUGGCGGAGUUCGCCUACAAUAACAGCUACCAAGAAAGUAUAGCGAUGGCGCCUUUUGAGGCACUAUAUGGACGUAAAUGUCGUUCUCCUAUCCAUUGGAGCGACGUGGGCGAGAGAACGGCUCUUGGCCCGGAUGUGAUGCGAGAGGCGGAAGAAAAAGUUCGCCUUGCCCGUCAACGGUUGGCGAUGGCACAAUCUCGGCAAAAGAGUUAUGCCGACAGGCGAAGAAAGGAUUUGGAGUUCGCGGUUGGAGACCGUGUAUUCUUGAGAGUGUCGCCGAUGCGAGGAGACAAACGAUUCAAGGUCCGUGGGAAGCUGAGUCCCCGUUAUGUCGGACCGUUUGAGAUAUUGGAGCGUGUGGGUGCGGUAGCGUACAAGCUCGCACUACCACCGAGACUCGCGGGAGUUCACAAUGUGUUUCAUGUGUCGAAUCUUCGAAAGUAUAUCCGAAACGCGACACAUGUAUUAGAGUACGAGCCCGUGGAGCUACGUGAAGACAUGUCCUAUGAGGAGCAGCCCGUGUGCAUCCUCGAUCGAGAAGUUAAGAAGUUGCGAAGUCGCAAAAUUCCAUAUGUGAAAGUCCAAUGGAGCAACCACGCGGCGCGAGAAGCCACUUGGGAGCUCGAGGAGUCAAUGCAGAAAGAAUACCCGCAUUUAUUUGAAUCGACGAGCUAAGGUAUGCGUAAUUUCGCGGACGAAAUUAUUUUAAGGGGUGGAGAAUGUAAUAUACCGAAAAUUCGGAAAAUAAAAUGUCGAACUUUAGUCAAAUUGACCAAAGUGCGAGGAUGGUACACUUCGGAAAGUCCGAAGGUGUUAAAAUGAUUAAAAGUGAGUUGUAGAAGGUUUUCGAGAGCUAAAGAAUCAAAUUCUGCAAACUGCAGAUUUUGAGCUCUCGGGGACCGGUCCCUGGUGGGAGAGACCGGUCCCCGAACGCGUGCAGAUUGAGACAGCCGAAAAAUCGGCUAAGUCCUGGAAGAUCAGCUCUCGGGAACCGGUCUCUGCCUGAGAGACCGGUCCCCCAGAGACCGGUCCCAUCAGAGAGAGACCGGUCGCAUCGCCCGCAGCGGCUCUGGCUUCGCAGGGUGGACCUUCGGGAACCGGUCCCUGCUCGGGGAGACCGGUCUCUGCCUGCGAAAAUUGCCCAGUCCAGGCAGUGCACAGAGGUAAAAGUUGAGGGGUUUAGCUGCAAUUUUGCAACCCAAUAGGAUAAGUAUGAGGGCAAAUGAGAUAUUUCUCUCAUUUCCUCACCCUCUCACACUCUCUUCUCUCCCUCUCUCUCUAGAAAGCAAAGGAGAAGAAGAAGAAAGAAAGAAAGGAGGAAAAGAAGGAAAAGAAGGUGAAGAAGAAGAAGAUCAAGUAGUAAGCCUACCUCUUCUCCUUCCUCCUUGGAGCGACUUUGGGAAAGCUUUGAGGUAAACUUUGAUCCCAAGUAUAGUAAAACCCUAGAAUGAGUUUUGAAUGACCUAGAAAUGGAUUUUAAUGGAAUGUUUAAAGAGUUUUGAAGCUUUCUUUCACUUCUUUGGAGAUCAAAACCUUGGUUUGCUAUAGAGGUGAGCUUGGACCACCUCUCAUGGUGAAAUCCAAACUAGGGUUUGGAGUGAGCUAGGGAUGGUUCUAAUGGACUAUUUAGAGUAUAAUGAAGCUACUUUUGCUUCCCAAUGAGAUCAAACCCUAGAUUUUGAUGUACAUUGGAGCUAGGGCACCCAAAUUGGGGCUUUUGCUCAUGAAGGUUUCUAAGUGCAAUUGACCCUCUAGAAACCUAAUUGGGGGUAUUUCCGACGCGUUGGUGCGCUCGGAAUAGCAUUACGAAAAGUCUAUAGAAAGAUAUGGGCAAAAUGGCCUAAGUUGGCUUCGUUUUGCCGCAGGUAAAGAACGAAGGAUCUAAAAAUCCCGAGAAAAUCGUCGGAGCACCUAAGGAGAUCCUACAAGAGUGGGUGGUUCUUUCCAAACUCAUUGAAAUUCUCUCUAUGCCUAAUGUGUCAUUCUUUGAGCAUAUGUUCUAUUAUUGUUGCAUGCAUUUUAGGGUAAAGUAAUGAUGAAUUGUGAAUGAUGAAUGAUUGGGAGCACAACUUGCAUAAUGAGAUGGUUGAGAACCUAAUAAUGUCAAAACCCUAGAUGUAUGCAUGAGAGAAAAUGUGAGCACCCAAAGUGAGUAAAAGAACAGAGUGGCACAAUUGACAUAGAUCGAGUGGCAUUUGAAAACGUAAAGUAAAGUGACACUAGAGUUAGUGUGAGCCAAAGAACCAAAGUGAUGUAAAGAAUGAUGAAAAUGACAAUGUGUAAAGUUAAAGUAAAGUGGGCAAUAAGAACGAGAAAUGUAAGAACAAGAACACUAAAGAUGGCAAAAGUAAAAGAAAAGUAAAGAAUGUGAUUGCUAGAGUUAGUAAAAGUAAAAGAAAAUGCAAAGAUCCAUGAUUGUGCUAGAUGGCAACAUAAAGUGAUGUAAUGAACACUAGAGUUAGUGUAAAGUCGAGAUUCAACAUACAAUCCUUUGAGUUAAGGAUUUCGAUCAUGCUUGCUAUGAGUUCCGUGCUCGGGCGGUCGCUCCCCUCGGGCGAUGCGCUCCGGAGUUAUGCAUCCGGGUUGGAGUAGACCCGUAAGGACGAUCCUAGCGGGUGAGUUCCUGCGAUGAUGGACUUAAAUGUGAAGCAAGUCAAUGUGGCGAUACCCCGGUUAGCUUGAGAUUAAAGAACAAAGAACAAAGAACAAAGAGCAAAGAAUAAAGAACAAAGAACAAAGAACAAAUGUAAAGAUAAAGAACAAAAGAUUUGCAUAAUCUGCAUAUAUUUAAUGUUGAGCAUAUUUCUUGCUAUUUGCUUCAUGGCUAUUAUCAUGUUAUAGAUUGGUUACUAUAUCCUACUUAUCCUUUCUAUUAUGCCUGAGUUAGUCCUAGUGGGAAAGUCGGUGAUGUUGGGGCCGAACCCACUGGGAACUUUGUUGUAGUUCUCACCCCACUAUUUCCACAGAGCCGGGACCGAGCGAGCCGGCGAGCGACCGCGGUAAAGGUAUCGCGCCUUAGUCAGAGGCCACCAACGUUGGGUUUCAUUUUGUAGUAAAGUACCUUAUGAUCAUCUUUUGUAUUUGAUGAUUAGUGAUAUAAAGAAAGAAUGUAAAGCUUAUUUUGAGGUAAAUGUGAUGUAAGAAAGAAAUGAUGAAAUGAUGUAAUGAUUGUAAGAAUUCGAUAAAUUACUAGAUGAAUGCAAUGUAUAUGAUCUAAAAUGAAUCAUAUUACUUGUGAAUGUUUAAUUUCCUUUUUCUUUCACUAAUGGCUAUUGCUUACCCUCGUGUAAGCCGUUUGUGUAUGUUUCCGCUAGUGCUUUUCUCUAUUGUUGAAAUUGUACAUGUGAUGAGCCUUGGGCGAAUAGGAGAAACUCUGUCCGUUCGGCGUCUGUUUGACGUGCUCGGGUCGGGCCAAAUUGGCAUCGGUCCCGGGGCGUGACAGGGAGAGCGUAGAUGAAGGGGGAGAGCAUGGAUGAACAGGCAUUGAACUGAAGCAGAGGAUGAUGAGUUCAAGAACAAAGGGAGAGCGUAGAUGAAGAGGGAGAAGGAAAUCAAAACUUCAAGACUCCUAGUUGCGUCUAAGUCAUAGAGUCUGUUUAGGAGUUUUGAUGUAAUUUUGAGUUUCAAAUUGUAUUUGGAUUACACGCGAGGGGUUCGAUGUUUUGGUGAUGACAUUUAACUUCGUUUUUCUUUAAAUUGUAAUUUGUGAGUUUGUGUGUGUUUUGUCACGAAAUUGCCAAAGGGGGAGAUUGUUAGGUCCUAUGUGUUGGCAAGUUUCGUGGGUCGAGUCGGAGUUUUGAAGAAGUCCGGAGCGGAGUAUUGAUGAUCGAAGAAUCCAAACUUUGAAGAAUCAGAAAGGACGCAAAACACGUAAAAAAUGAAUCACGAUGCUUAGGUAAGCUUUAAAUCUUGUUUAUGGUGAUUCAUACUUAAUUAUAGAUUUUAGAAUCAUGUUUUCAAGUUGUAAUUGAUUAGAAAGUUUCUAAGAGCUUGUAAAACCCGAAACAAUGCAUUUUCAGCGAAAAUUGCAUUGUUGUACCGGUACAAGAGUUUUCUGUCCAGGGUACAGCCAUCAGCGUUUGUGCAGAAAAGUUUGAUGGUUGUUUCGUUACAACCAUCACGGCUGUCCAGGGUACAAGCCCUGUUCCGGUACAAGAUGCAGUCUGUCCAGGGUACAGAAGCUUCGCAGAAAAAUCUUCCGUCAUGCUGUACCCUAGACUGCUUUCCUUGUUCCGGUACAAGGUGCUGAUUUUGGAAAGAAACUUUCUAAUCCUACUCCGUUUUGAUUCUAAAGUCUAUAAAUAAGCUAUAGGGAUUCUCUAACUGAUCAAGCAUCACGAAAAUAUAUAUUUGAGCAAUCCUAGAGGCUCAGAUUUCAUCCAAAACCUAUUUUCUACAAAAAGCCUCUUUUAGAUCAAAUCGAGAUAUUGAAAUUUGAUAUUAAUAUGUCGAUUUGAUCUCCGCUUCGCUUGGAGUUCUAUUCCCUGGUUUUNNNNNNNNNNNNNNNNNNNNNNNNNUUCCUUGUUCCGGUACAAGGUGCUGAUUUUGGAAAGAAACUUUCUAAUCCUACUCCGUUUUGAUUCUAAAGUCUAUAAAUAAGCUAUAGGGAUUCUCUAACUGAUCAAGCAUCACGAAAAUAUAUAUUUGAGCAAUCCUAGAGGCUCAGAUUUCAUCCAAAACCUAUUUUCUACAAAAAGCCUCUUUUAGAUCAAAUCGAGAUAUUGAAAUUUGAUAUUAAUAUGUCGAUUUGAUCUCCGCUUCGCUUGGAGUUCUAUUCCCUGGUUUUCUACGAUACUCCUAAGCGAAGGAUCACCAUAAUCAUGAUGCUCUUCAUGAACGGCGUCGUGGAUUCGGCGUGAACAAAGGCGGUUCGUGGAUUCGGAUCGUUGGCUCGUGGAUUCGAGUGGCGUUCGUGGAUUCGGAUCGUUGGCUCGUGGAUUCGAGUGGCGUCGUGGAUUCAGCGUGAUUGAAGCUUCGUGGAUUCGAAGUGGAGGCGUUCGUGGACUCGAACGUGAGGGCGUGGACAAUCCGGAGGGUAGCGCGAAGAUUCAUAGGAGGUUAAGAGAGGUUGAGUCCGUGGAGUCAGUAAUCACCUUGUAAUAUUUUCUCUUAGUGAAUUAUUUUUUUCGCGUGUUGAUCCCGUGGGUUUUUCUCCAAGUUGGAGUUUUCCUACGUAAAUCUCGGUGUGCUUUUUAUUUUCCGCAUUUAUUUUUAUUGCAUCGAGAUUUGUGGUUUUUAGCCGGUACACCUAUUCACCCCCCUCUAGGUGAUAGAUACAAUCUAGAUAGAUCCUUGGGCUCCUCAAAACUUUCAGGCGAACCCUCGGGUGCGCCACGAGAUUAAUGGACAGGUAGAUAGCUUUACUUCUUGGACAUGUGACGAGCUAGUUGAUUAACUAUUUCAUUAUACAUGCAUUCAUAUACAUAAUUCGGGCAUAGUAGUGUAGUUAUACUAUUCUGUCUUCACAGCUUUCCAUAUCUAUCUAUCUGUUUAUCUACUUGUGCCCACUUGGACCUAGUGGGGAGACCAGCGGAGUCGGCGGCCGAACCCACUGGGAACUAUAGAAGAUAGUUCUCACCUCACUCUCUACAGGUCCGAGUUCGAGUGCCCCCGGCAAGUGCGAGGAUCGUGGCAAGGGCAUAGCGCCCUAGUGGUGUAUGUACAUAGCUAGCUUUACUUCCUUUUGUAUUAGCCGUCACCCUUUGUAUUUGAGAGUAGAUGAUGUAUAGGUGUGAGGUUAUUUUGGAAGAUGUAAAAGCAUGUUAUAUUUAUGUUCAUAUUUUGAAAGUAAAUCGAUGUAUUAAAGAGAUUGAAUGAAUGUAAUAGAUAGAACCUUCUCUCUUUAUUUACUUGUAUGUCUCAUACUUGUAUCUUGCUCUUAUUUGUUAGCACUAGUGGUGCUCCUUGUGAUCGUGUAUGUAUGAAUUGAUUCCUGGGUAAAUUCUUAUACAUGAUCAGUUUGCUUAGCCUUGGACGGACAGAGGAGGUGCUGUCCAUUCGGCGUCUGUUUGACGCGCUCGAACCGAAUCGAAUUGGUAGCGGUCUCGGGGCGUGACAGCGUCGAAGAACGAAGAAUCCAACACUUCGGAGAAGGCGGAGAUAACUCACGACAUGAAUCACGAUGCUAUGGUAAAGUCUUUACUUCAUGUUAUGGUGAUUCAUACUUAGUUAUAGGCAUUAGAAUCAUUAUUAUCCAUGUUUAGUUGAUUAGAAAGUGCUUCGGAACUCUGCGGAACCCGAAACAGUGCUAAGUCUGAAAAAUGCACUGCGUACCGGUACAGCAAUUGACCCGUACCGGUACAGCCAUCGACUUUGGCUUCGCAAAUUUUUGUUCCGUCAUCGUGUAACCGGUGACAGCCUCACGUGUGCCAGUACACUGUGUAAAAUUGUGAAAACUUUCUAAUCCGACUCCGAUUGAUUCUAAAGUCUAUAAAUAAGUUAUAGGGGUUCUCUAACAGAUCAAGCAUCACGAAAAUACAUGUUUGAGAAACCCUAGAGGCUCGGAUUUCAUCUAAAAUCUAUUUUCUUCAUAAAGCCUCUUUUAGGUCAAAUCGAGAGAUUGUAAUUUGAUAUCAAUAUGUCGAUUUGAUCUUCGCUUCGCUUGGAGAUCUAUUUCCUGAUUUUCAUCGAUACUCUAAGCGAAGGAUCACCAUAAUCAUGAUGCUCUUCAUGACGGCGUCGUGGAUUCUGCGUGAUUGACGGCGGUUCGUGGAUUCGGAUCGUGAGCUUCGUGGAUUCGGAGUGGAGGCGUUUCGUGGAUUCGGAACGUGGCGUUCGUGGAUUCGAACGUGAGGGCGUGGACAACCCGGAGGAUUGCGCGAGAUUCAUAGGAGGUUAAGAGAGGUCGAGUCCGUGGAGUCGGUAAUCACCUUGUAAUCUUUUCUCUUAGUGAAUUAUUUUUUUGCAUGUUGGUCCCGUGGGUUUUUCUUCAAGUUGGAGUUUUCCCACGUAAAUCUCGGUGUGAUUUUUAUUUUUCGCAUUUAUUUUUAUCACAUUAAGAUUUGUGGUUUUUGGCUAUUACACCUAUUCACCCCCCUCUAGGUGUUAGAUACAAUCUAGAUAGAUCCUUCGGCUCCUCGAAACUUACAAUUGGUAUCAGAGCGAGAUCUAGAUAUAACUAAUGGCCGAAGGCGGUAACAUCAAUCGACCACCACUCUUCAAUGGCACGAAUUAUGCCUAUUGGAAAGUUCGCAUGAGAGCUUUUCUAAUCGCAAUCCAUGAGCGGGUGUGGAAAGCAAUAGAAUUCGGUUGGAAGCAUCCUAUCGAAGUCGUCGAUAAUGAUACCGUUCCUAAACCACGGAACAAGUGGACAAAAGAUGAAAACGAGUCAUCUUCGUUUAACGGUAAAAGAAUUAAUACUUUAUUCAACGCUUUAUCGCAAUCGGAGUUUACUCAUGUUUCGGCAUGCGAAACGGCACAGAAAAUUUGGGAUACUCUACAAGUUAUGCAUGAAGGAACGAGCUUAGUAAAUGUCCAAAAAUUACAAAUGUUAAUAAGUAAAUUUGAUUCAAUUUUUAUGGACGAAAAUAAGACCUUUACCGAGUACUAUACGCGUCUGCAGGACGUUGUGAAUACAUGCGCUAACUUGGGAGAGAAAAUUCCGAAUUCAAAGGUUGUAAGAAAAUUCUUCGAACUCUUCCAGAACGCUUUCGGGCAAAGGUUGCCGCUAUCGAAACCGUUAAGCAUCCGCACGAGAUGAAAGUAGAGGAAUUAGUAGGUGCUUUGCAAACUUAUGAAAUGACUUUUCCUACUAAUCAACCUUCUUCCAAGUCUUCUUCUAAAAGUACAGGGGUUGCACUCAAAUCGACAAAGAAAGAAGACGACGACUCGGAUUCCGACGGAGAUAUUUCGCUCGCCGACUUUGAACAUCAAUUAGCGCUCCUAACGAAGAAGUUCCGACGAAAUUUCCGGAAAAAUAGAUCGGACAAGGCUUCAUCUUCUAAGCAAAAAAAUUUUUCUAAAUCAUCUUCAUCUUCAAAAUCUAAGGAUAAAAAACUUGCAAAGUCUUCAAAAGAAAAGGAUGAAUUUGAAGGAAAAAUCCAAUGCUACAAAUGUAAAGGUUACGGUCACAUUGCAACGGAUUGUCCUUCUAAAAAGACUUAUAAACAAAAGGCUUUGCAAGCAAAAACUUGGGAUGACUCUUCUUCUAGUGAAUCAUCUUCAAGUGACGAAGAAAAGAGUGAUCAUGUUGCUUUAUUUACUAACACUUCUUUACCUUUUAUCUAAUGUUGUUUGUUUAUCCUCUAUUGCUACUAAUUCCAAUAUUUCUCUUUCUUCGCAUGACUCUUCGAGCGACAAUGGCGAAAGCGAGGAGGAAUCAAACGACGACGACAUAGCGGAAGCGUACAAUCAACUUCUUAUUGAGUCGAAGAAAAUGGCCAAACAUAAUAAGAAGUUGAGGCGUCGUCUUUUGGGCAUUGAGAAGGAAAACAACAACUUAAAGACUUUGAAUAAAGCUCUCGAGGAGGAAAGGGAAGCAAAUUUGAAAAAUAAAUCUAUCCUCCAAGAGAAGCUAGAUGAAGCGGAAUCAACUAUCAAAUCUUCUAAAGAUAAGAUUGAAUUUUUGGAGCACCAAUUUCAGAAAAUUCAUGCAUCCAAUCAAGUCUUAACUAGUCAAGUUUGCCAACUCAAAUCCGAUCUUCAAAAAUUUUCUUCCGGAUCAAAGAAACUAGAUCAUAUGCUCGGUUUGGGUCAAACGAACAAGUUGGGCCUCGGCUAUGAAAGAACAUAUAUUGAGAAGGAUCAAAUGGCGACAUCUAAAGUCUCAACAACAUUAAAGGUCAAAGUGUGUCAUAGGUGUGGAAUUAAAGGUCACAUCGAAAGGAAUUGCCCGGUGAAAGAUAAGAAGAAUUAUUUGGCAACUCCUAAAGCUCAAUCGGCACCAUCUAUGACUCGACAUCCCCCAAGGAAUCAAAAGAAAGAUCAAUUGAAUCAAGCAUCGCAAGCAAACCGGAUUUCUAAGCCGCAACACCAAGGUCAACCUAAACCGCAAGCUAUGAGGGUUCUUAAGCCUCAAGCGACGAAACAACCAACGGUUGAUCAAAAAUCAAAGCAAACGGCACCUAACGUCGACAAGACAAGACAUCGCAAAAUCCGAUAAGUUUGGAUUCAGAAAGGUGAUAUCUUUCCUUGUGCUACGUCUUAGUUCGUUUUUGAUUUUUUACGUAAAUGCUUUAAUUGGUGCUUGUUGCAAAUUUUUAUUCAUUGCAUUACAUAUUUAGACGAUUUUUGGUGCUUGAAUUUUAUUUGUUUUUUAGGAAAGGUGUUUGGGAAUUUAAAAUUUUUCUUUGAGGAAAGAGACGAUUGAAAAUCCUUAUUUUGAGGAGAUUAGAAUUUUUCAAAGUGUUUUAACCGGAAUUCAUCUUGAAUUAAAUUCAUAUUAAUUAUCAGUUUUACUCCACUUUUUAUUAUUUUGACGAUAAUUUAAUAUAUGAUUUCUUAAUACAUAUAUUCAACAAAAUUUUGAAAUCAAUUUUGAUCUUUUGGUGAUUAAUUCAUCUUGGUUAUGUGUGUUGAUAUGAUGGAUGGAUAUUCACUAAUCGACUAAAAUUUUGUCAAAAUUACUUUCAAUUGUGAGAUUGUCUAAUUUAGGGGGAGUUUGAAUUAUUUAAAAAAAAAAAAAAACUUCUAUAUUUAAAAGAUCUGGAAAGAGGUACAUCCAAAAUGAGUGUGAAAACUACCACCACAUGUAGGAAAGAGCUACCACUCCGGUCGUCCGGCAAGUGUGUGAAGCUACCACAUGAAGAUUAAAUUGAAUAACCGAAAAGGUUGAAAAAAAUUGAAUAUUUUAGAAUUUUCGGAGUUAUAAGGUGUUAGUUUGAAAAAGAUGCUCAAAGAGCCACCCCCCGUAUCAUAUUAGUUAAAUCUCUAUUUUGAACGGAUUGCGACAAAUUGGUGUCAAUUUUUUCGAAUUUCUAAAAAUUAUUUUUCGUGAACCGUUACAUCUUGAUGAUUUUGAAAAUAGAAGUCAUUUUUGAUAAUGAAAUUUUGGUGUUUCGAUAUAUUUUAAAAUUUUGUAAUAUUUUAUCUUCAUUAUAAUAAUUUUUUUGGAGUAAAAUUCUUAAUUUAUAUAAAAUUAAUUUAUGUUAGAUGUAUUUUUAAAGCAAAAUUUUUGAAAUUUGGGGCUGUGUACUGUAGCAGCGGCUUAUAUAACCGGUUAUAGGAUUUUAUUUCUUCCACAAUUCAAAACCAAAUCUCUCUCUUUGUUUCUACAACUCCAUGGGAUCCUCCUCCUCCAGAUCCAUGAAGUUUUCCCCUAAAUCUGUAAGUCUUUUGUUGGGAUUUCAUGAUUUCAUCUCGUUUUUUGCAUUUUUUCGAAAAAAUUCCGAGUUCAUGUUAGAUCUCUAUUUUUAAUCGCUUUUUAUGCAAUUUUUUGCUAUAGAUUAGUGUUUAUCGAUAUUAUCUUGCUUCUAAGUCACUUCAAUCAUGUCAAAACGUUUAUUUUUCGCUGAUUUGUGAUCUAGAUUUCGAUAUGCUUGGAAUUUCGGGAUUUGUGUUGAAGUAUCAAUUUUUGAUGAAAUUUUUUGCAUGAAUUAGUUUGAAAUAGCGUUAGUAUGCAUUCUAAGAAUAUUAGAAAUUUUUUCGCUAUUUUUACAAAUUUUUCGAAAAAUUGUGUUCAUAUAUGCUCUUAUUGUGUAGGAAAAUGGUGUUUUUUCUUGUGUUGACAUUGCUGGUGCUUAUGGCCGCUGGGAGCGGUCGUGGACGUGGUAGGGGUCAUCGAAGGGCCUCUAAGAGGAUACGUACUACUGCUAAGGCAUCUGGUUCUGAUCCAGAUUAUCAGGUUAGUUCUCCCGAGGAAGCAGAAGAACCUGUUGCUCAUCCUGACAAAGGAAAGGGUAUAGCUGGAGAGUCCUCACGAGGAGGUUCUCGUGCUCGUGAGGGUCGUCCAAAACAGGCCGCGGAUGUUCCCCCAGAGCGGCAGAGGAUGUUCAUGAGCAAGUCAUGUAUUGCAGAGCGUUAUGUCAACUUCAAUGAACUUAUACAUGAUGUUCCUGACUUUGGGCGGCUACUUCAGCGGGUUCCUAUUGAGCCAGUUGGUCGGGUUCCUGCUCGCGCUCCAUUUUGUAUGGAACUUAUUCGUGAGUUCUAUAUGAACGGGAAGGUACUCGCAGAGGAUGAGGAGACCGGGACUUUUCUAUUU